rnacentral:lncRNA from 1 species
UUUUCCUUUUUCCUUUUUUAUUUUAUUUUCUUUUUCAUUUAUUUCUUUAUUUUUCAAUCUUUUUCUUUUUCUCAACCUCUUAGCAACCAACUUUUCUUCUCCCCAACUUAAAUACAACCAAUCAUGUAAUGUGACUGCUCCCAAACUUUAUGGCAAGGGUAAAAUUUGAACCACAAAUCAUGGUUAUGGUUCAAGAAAAAUAUUAUAAUCCAUACAAAAGUGAGUUCAACACCAACAUGG